AUGUCCUACUCUCACUGACACCAAGUUCAAUUACAAACCUGUUGCCAGUUUCAACACACUACCAGGUACCACAGUAUCUAUCGAAUGCAUAACAGGUUUUCUGUCUAACAAUAGAAUGGAAGUCACCCAGUCUACAUGCCAGGGCAAUGGAAGGUGGCAACCAAGGCAACCUUUAUGUGAAAGGUGCCUCUUGAAUUGCAAUGACACUAAUGUGGUGGAUUGUCAUCAUGUAGCGGGAACAGCAGCGGUCAACUGUAUUUGUGGACAAAACCUCCAAUGGACCAUGGGCAAAUGUCAACCAACACAUUGUCCAGAGUUAAACUCUACAACAGUGAUGACUAUACCCAGGAGUACUACUGGUAGUGGCAUUACUGUAUCAUGUACGCUUGGUUUCCAUACUAUCUCAAAGCCGUCUUCAGUGACUUGCCAAGCUAAUGGAACAUGGACUACACUACCAUCUU